AUUGAACGCUGGCGGCAGGCCUAACACAUGCAAGUCGAACGAGUGGCGGACGGGUGAGUAAUGUCUGGGAAACUGCCUGAUGGAGGGGGAUAACUACUGGAAACGGUAGCUAAUACCGCAUACCCUCGGAUGUGCACAGAUGGGAUUAGCUAGUCGGUGGUGUAAAGGCUCACCUAGGCCACGAUCCCUAGCUGGUCUGAGAGGAUGACCAGACACACGGGAACGGAGAAACGGUCCAGACUCCUACGGGAGGCAGCAGUGGGGAAGAUUGCAAAAUGGGCGAAAGCCUGAUGCAGCAAUGCCGCGUGUAUGAAGAAGGCCUUCGGGUUGAAAACUAAUUUCAGCGGGGAGGCGUUACCCGCAGAAGAAGCACCGGCUAACUCCGUGCCAGCAGCCGAGGUAAUAC
rnacentral:rRNA from 1 species